UUCAGCUGGUGGGGAGCAUCGGGCAGUGAGAAGAUACAUUGGCAUUCCUGGGCAUGUAUAUAGGCUGUUUAAGAACAUGCCAGGAUGGCACAAGGUAUCUUCAGUGCCUCUGGUGCCAAUCUUGUGAAGUCCUUCUCAGGGAAUGGAUGUUGCUGCCUUGCCCUCUGACAGGGGCUGACCUAUGGGCCUCCCCACAAGAUGGCAUGUCAGCUGUCAUCAAGUAUACCCACAAGCACUCCUCCUUCCUUCUAUCACAGUCCCCUGGAUAGGUUUUAGCCAACAGCCUUCUCUGGAGCCUCCUCUGAGCUCCUGUGCUGCUCUGUGCUGGGGCACCUACCCCUGAGGGGUGCCCAAGUAGGCCUGGGCACUAUGUCUCUGGCAGCUGCUGCCACGUGGCCAAUCCCCACUCUCUGAGGCUUAUUCACAUCCACAUCCACCUUCUGCACUAUGUUUCUGGCCUUGGACUACACUGGUCACCACCAGCCAAGUCACAUAAUUUCCCUGGAACCUCUGCCCUUCCACACGUGGCCGAUGUUCUUUACACCUCAGUCUCUUGGGCCCUGAGACUGUGGCUCCUGGCUUUCUCCACCAUUUCAUGUGAUCCCAUGGUGUUUCUAUUUUGUGCUCCAGGCAAACAUCUUCCUGAAAGUCCUGGACAUCUCUUACAAUGGUCUUGGAGAUUCUGGUGCCUCUGCAGUAGGUGAUGCGCUCAAGGCCAACAAUGUGCUGGAGGAACUCAACAUGAGUAACAACCGCAUCUCUGCAGCAGGCGCCCUGAGCCUGGGCCUUGGCCUUCGGGUCAACCAGACACUGAGGAUCCUUGUUGUGUCGAGAAAUCCUAUGCAAAGUGAAGGCUGCUUUGCUGUUCUCAAGUCUGUCCAAGAUAACCCGGUGUCUGCCAUAGAACUGCUGGAUUUCUCUAAUAUCCAAGUGAACAGAGAGUUUGAUGACCUUGCUAGUUCCAUGAAGGUAAUUCUCCCAGCACUUUGCAUAAAGACUGCUGCUCAUAGAGUGGAAUACAAAAAAAAGUUGUUGCCAGGGUCUGACCCUAAAUGACUAUGGAGCCUUCCUCACCUCCCAUCAGUCACUUCACCUUUCAUGUUGAGGAUUCUGGCUGUUGAGAUGCCUUAUUGCCACUUGAGUCUGAAUUGAGUUUCCAGUUACCCAUGUAAGUCCUGUGGAAACAACCUUCACUGUGACUUGACACCCUGUGACCAUUGCACUAACUGGGACCUUCCUUUGCUCUCACUCAUCACAGACUCAUAUUGUGUGCUGAAAAUUGUGCUGGGCAGUGCAUCAAAGGUGCCCAAACAACUUCUUUUCCUGUUGAUCUACCUUGGAAGGCAAUUGAAAUAGAAGGAGAUAUGCAGCUGAUAUUCCCAGCUGAACAUACAGAAUGGAAGCUGACAUAACUUUUUGGGAAGCCAAUUUAUUAUUAUGCAUUCUAGACUGCCUGUGACCUCUGUUCCAAUGGUCUGAUUAAUCUCAUACAAGAAAUAACCAGGGAAGGGGAAGCAUAAAAAGAUUAGUGCCCAAAGAUGUUCAUUGACAUGCUGUUAAUAAGCAUGGAAAUUGGAAAUGGUCAAAUGUCCAAUAAUAAGGGGUUGGUUAACUAAGAUGUGGAACUCGGCAAAUAGUAAAAUCCAAGCAUGUUUUUAUUAAUGUUACUAAAUGUUCAAAUAACAUUUAACAACUUGUGACAAUGCACAUGAUUAAUGUUAAGUGAGAAAAUCAGGAUAAAAAUAUCACAUGGUUUGUCUGGCAAUCUUCACAAGCUAAAACAUAGGGUUACCCUAUGACCCAGCAAUUCCACUCCUGUGGAAAUAAAAAUAUUUAGUCCAUACAAAGACUUAUUCACAAAUGUUCACAGCAGUAGUUUUCAUAGUAUCAAGAAGGUGAAAUUGUCUACCAACAGACCUGUAGAUAAAUAAAAUAUGGUAUAACCAUAUAAUGAAAUAUUGUUUGGCUAUAAAAAAGCAGUGAAAUUUGGGGUGAUGAAUCUUCUAAUUUGAUUAUGGUAAUAGUUGCACAACUCUGUAAAGAUACUAAAAAUAAUUGUAUUGUAUGCUUUAAAUAGGUGAAUUUUGAGGUAUGUGAACUACAACUCAAUUAAGUUGUUAAAAGAAAAAGGAAGGGAUGGUAGGUGACAAAACAUGGAUAAACCUUGAAAACAUUAUGUAUGUAAGUGAAAGAAGUCAGUCAAAGUCCACCAUACUGAAUCAUUCCAUGUGUAUCAAAUACCCAAACUAAGCAAAUCUACAGAGACGAAAAGUACAUUAGAGGUUGUCCACAGCAUAAGGGAUGGGAAGGUUGACAACUGGAAGAUAGGGAUUUCUUUGUGAGAUCAUAAAACUGUUCUAAAGUUGGUUGUGAUGAUGAUUACACAACUCUGAAUAUAAUAAAAACUACUGAUUUGUAUACCACCUUAAAUGGGUGAAUUGUAAAACAUGAAUUAUCUUGAGAAAACUCUUACCAAAAAGUAAUCUUAUUGGACCCAAACUGUACUUUUAAAUGUAUGUACACAGGGCAGAAAAAGACCAAAACCCCCCAACCUAUUAAUAAUGUUUUUUCUAGGUUGUAGGUUUAUGGUUUUUUUCUUUGUUUUUAUGCAUUUUCUACAUUUUUUACUUUGAGUGUUAUUUUUAUAAUCAGAAAAAUUAUUAAUGUCAUCAAACAAGGGAGUAAGCCUAGGGCCCCUAGUUGUGAUUUCUCCACAACACAGUCUGGCAAGCCAUCACUCUACUGCUCCACCCACUGUAAAUCAGAGGGAUGGACUUAGGGGACCUGCCCCCAAGUGCAGGGGCCUUUUGAGACCCUGUGGUCAAGACUGAAAAGUGGGAUUUACAGACACUGGUGAUCCCAGGCAAGGAGUCAGCAUAUAUUGAUUAGUAAAAGAGCAAAGACCAAGGAAAGAAAGUUCUGGGGGUGGGAGGUGGAGGGGGAAACUCUCUGGAUAUGCAAGAGAGUGACUCUCCAAGGUGCUAGAGCUGGGGGUCUGUACAAGUUUUUCAUUUGAGGUGUUGUAAUAAUGUAAUCCCAAGGGAAAGGGAAGGUUCCAGGUUCUCUGCCCUACCCUACAGAAGAGUGGAUCUGGACAAGGAGGUAAGCUAGAAGUGAUUGGGAAAAGGGCUGGAGGCAGGAGAAGAAGCAGAGAGGUGGAAAGAAGACACAUGUGAAGCGGUGCUUGUUUCCUGGCCUUGGACUUGUGCCAGGGACUUGGGACCAUCAAAGAAACAUCUGAAAGAGAUGUGGGUGAG